GACGAACGCUGGCGGCGUGCUUAACACAUGCAAGUCGAACGGAAAGGCCCUGCUUUUGUGGGGUGCUCGAGUGGCGAACGGGUGAGUAACACGUGAGUAACCUGCCCUUGACUUUGGGAUAACUUCAGGAAACUGGGGCUAAUACCGGAUAGGAGCUCCUGCUGCAUGGUGGGGGUUGGAAAGUUUCGGCGGUUGGGGAUGGACUCGCGGCUUAUCAGCUUGUUGGUGGGGUAGUGGCUUACAAAGGCUUUGACGGGUAGCCGGCCUGAGAGGGUGACCGGCCACAUUGGGACUGCGAUACGGCCCAGACUCCUACGGGAGGCAGCAGUGGGGAAUAUUGCACAGUGGGCGGACGCGUGAUGCAGCAACGCCGCGUGCGGGAUGACGGCCUUCGGGUUGUAAACCGCUUUCGCCUGUGACGAAGCGUGAGUGACGGUAAUGGGUAAAGAAGCACCGGCUAACUACGUG
rnacentral:rRNA from 1 species